UACAGAGGGGGCAAGCGUUGUUCGGAAUUACUGGGCGUAAAGGGCGCGUAGGCGGCCUGCUAAGUCGAACGUGAAAUCCCCGGGCUCAACCCGGGAACUGCGUCCGAUACUGGUUGGCUUGAAUCCGGGAGAGGGAUGCAGAAUUCCAGGUGUAGCGGUGAAAUGCGUAGAUAUCUGGAGGAACACCGGUGGCGAAGGCGGCAUCCUGGACCGGCAUUGACGCUGAGGCGCGAAAGCCAGGGGAGCAAACGGG
rnacentral:rRNA from 1 species